rnacentral:tRNA from 1 species
UCUGUCUGUAGCUCAAUUGGAAGAGCAACGGUCUUCUACACCGUCGGUUGGGGGUUCGAGUCCCUCCAGGCAGGU